CGACUCUCGGCAACGGAUAUCUCGGCUCUCGCAUCGAUGAAGAACGUAGCGAAAUGCGAUACCUGGUGUGAAUUGCAGAAUCCCGCGAACCAUCGAGUCUUUGAACGCAAGUUGCGCCUGAGGCCACUCGGCCGAGGGCACGCCUGCCUGGGCGUCACGC
rnacentral:rRNA from 1 species